rnacentral:rRNA from 1 species
GAUGAACGCUGGCGGCGUGCUUAACACAUGCAAGUCGAACGAUGAAGCCCAGCUUGCUGGGUGGAUUAGUGGCGAACGGGUGAGUAACACGUGAGUAACCUGCCCUUAACUCUGGGAUAAGCCUGUUAAACUGGGUCUAAUACCGGAUAGGAGCUUCCACCGCAUGGUGGGUGUUGGAAAGAUUUAUCGGUUUUGGAUGGACUCGCGGCCUAUCAGCUUGUUGGUGAGGUAAUGGCUCACCAAGGCGACGACGGGUAGCCGGCCUGAGAGGGUGACCGGCCACACUGGGACUGAGACACGGCCCAGACUCCUACGGGAGGCAGCAGUGGGGAAUAUUGCACAAUGGGCGCAAGCCUGAUGCAGCGACGCCGCGUGAGGGAUGACGGCCUUCGGGUUGUAAACCUCUUUCAGUAGGGAAGAAGCGAAAGUGACGGUACCUGCAGAAGAAGCACCGGCUAACUACGUG